rfam:Ovis aries breed Texel chromosome 11, whole genome shotgun sequence.
UCCCUGGUGGCCUAGUGGUCAAGACUCAGUACUUUCACUGCUGAGGGCUUGGGUUCAACCCCUGCUCAGGGAA